AGGAUGAACGCUGGCGGCGUGCUUAACACAUGCAAGUCGAACGAUGAAGCGGAGCUUGCUCUGUGGAUUAGUGGCGAACGGGUGAGUAACACGUGAGUAACCUGCCCUUGACUCUGGGAUAAGCACUGGAAACGGUGUCUAAUACCGGAUACGAGCUUCAGCCGCAUGGCUAGGAGUUGGAAAGAAUUUCGGUCAAGGAUGGACUCGCGGCCUAUCAGGUAGUUGGUGAGGUAAUGGCCCACCAAGCCUACGACGGGUAGCCGGCCUGAGAGGGUGACCGGCCACACUGGGACUGAGACACGGCCCAGACUCCUACGGGAGGCAGCAGUGGGGAAUAUUGCACAAUGGGCGCAAGCCUGAUGCAGCAACGCCGCGUGAGGGACGACGGCCUUCGGGUUGUAACCUCUUUAGUAGGAAGAGCGAAGUGACGGUACUGCAGAAAAGCACGGCUAACUACGCGCCAGCAGCCGCGGU
rnacentral:rRNA from 1 species